GGCCAAGCUACUAAGGGCAAUCGGUGGAUGCCUUGGCGUUAAGAGGCGAUGAAAGACGUGGUAAGCUGCGAAAAGCUUCGGGGAGUUGCUAAACAAACUUUGAACCGAAGAUUUCUGAAUGAGAAAACUCAAUCUGGGUAAUGCCAGAUUAUCCAAUGCUGAAUACAUAGGCAUUGGAAGCUAACGAGGUGAACUGAAACAUCUAAGUAACCUCAGGAAAAGAAAACAAUAGUUAUUUCCAAAGUAGCGGCGAGCGAAAUGGAAACAGCCCAAACCAAAUAUGUGCCAAGCCCAUAUGUUUUGCAUAUUUGGGGUUGUGGGAAUUAUUUUGAUAAGUAUAUGGACUUAUCGGGAAGUUAUAAAUCUGAUUUUGAGUCGAAUAGCACUGGAAAGGCUAACCAAAGAAGGUGACAGUCCUGUAGAUAAAUAAAUCAGACUUCCUUAAUAAUCUCCCAAGUACCACGGGACACGAGAAACCCUGUGGGAAUCCAGGAGGACCAUCUCCUAAGGCUAAAUACUCCUUAACGACCGAUAGUGAACCAGUACCGUAAGGGAAAGGUGAAAAGUACUCCGGCGAGGAGAGUGAAAUAGUACCUGAAACCGUUUGCCUACAAGCCGUAGGAGGACUAUGAAACUUACUUUGGGUUAUCCCAAAUUAUUUUCAGUCUAACUGCGUGCCUUUUGCAUAAUGAGUCAGCGAGUUACUUUGUGUAGCAAGGUUAAACCGUCAGGUGAAGCCGUAGCGAAAGCAAGUCUUAAUAGGGCGUUUAGUUACAUAAAGUAGACCCGAAGCCAAGUGAUCUAUCCAUGGCCAGAGUGAAGCGCCAGUAAAAUGGUGUGGAGGCUCGAACUAUUGUGGGUUGAAAACCGCUUAGAUGAGCUGUGGAUAGGGGUGAAAGGCCAAUCAAACUUGGAAAUAGCUGGUUCUCCUCGAAAUAUAUUUAGGUAUAGCCUCGCAUUAAAGUUACGGGGGUAGAGCACUGGAUGGGCUAGGGGUCCCACCAGAUUACCAAACCUAACCAAACUCCGAAUACCGUUAACUUGAUGUGCGGGAGUCAGACUAUGGGAGCUAAGUUCCAUGGUCGAAAGGGAAACAGCCCAGAUCAACAGCUAAGGUCCCAAAAUGUAUGCUAAGUGGGAAAGGAUGUGGAAAUGCACAGACAACCAGGAGGUUGGCUUAGAAGCAGCCAUCCUUUAAAGAAAGCGUAAUAGCUCACUGGUCAAGUGGGUCUGCGCCUAAAAUGUAUCGGGGCUAAGCAUACUACCGAAGCUUUGAGAUUCUAUUUUGAAUCGGUAGAGGAGCAUUCUGUUUUGAGUGAAUGUCAAUUGUAAGAAUGGCUGGACAAAACAGAAGAGACCAUGCUGACAUGAGUAGCGAUAAAGCGGGUGAAAAACCCGCUCGCCGAAAACCUAAGGUUUCCUGAGUAAAGCUAAUCUGCUCAGGGUUAGUCGAUCCCUAAGCCGAGGCCGAAAGGCGUAGGCGAUGGAAAACAGGUUAAUAUUCCUGUACCACCGUGUUAUCAAUGUCUAUUUAGGCGAGAGUGAUUGGGGGGACGCAGAAGGGUAGAUCAUCCAUCUGUUGGAUGGUGGUUCAAGCAUGUAGGUGGAAAUUACAGGUAAAUCCGUAAUUUCAUUACACUGAGAUGUGACGAGGAGAGAUUUAAUCUCACAAACUGAUUGAUCCCAUACUGCCAAGAAAAUCCUCUAGCGAGAUAACAAGGUGAUCGUACCGUAAACCGACACAGGUAGGUAAGGAGAGAAUCCUAAGGCGCUUGAGAUAACCCUGGUUAAGGAACUCGGCAAAAUCACACCGUAACCUCGGGAUAAGGUGUGCCUCUAUUAAGUGAAACAAUUUACUUGUGAAGCUGAAAGAGGCCGCAGAGAAAUGGCGGUAGCGACUGUUUACUAAAAACAUAGGACUCUGCUAAAUCGUAAGAUGAUGUAUAGAGUCUGACGCCUGCCCGGUGCUGGAAGGUUAAGGGGAUUUGUUAUCCUUCGGGAGAAGCUUUGAACCGAAGCCCCAGUAAACGGCGGCCGUAACUAUAACGGUCCUAAGGUAGCGAAAUUCCUUGUCGGGUAAGUUCCGACCUGCACGAAAGGCGUAACGACUUCCGCACUGUCUCAACCAGGGACUCAGCGAAAUUGUAAUGGCGGUGAAGAUACCGUCUACCCGCGAAAAGACGGAAAGACCCCGGCACCUUUACUACAACUUGACAUUGGAUUUUGGAAUAUUAUGUGUAGGAUAGGUGGGAGACUUUGAAACCAGGGCGCUAGCAAUGGUGGAGUCACCCUUGAAAUACCACCCUUGAUAUUUUAGAAUUCUAAUUUCUACCCUUUAUCAGGGUAAAAGACAGUGUCUGGUGGGUAGUUUGACUGGGGCGGUCGCCUCCCAAAAGGUAACGGAGGCGCGCGAAGGUUCCCUCAGGCUGAUUGGAAACCAGCCGUAGAGUGUAAAGGCAUAAGGGAGCUUGACUGCGAGAGAGACAUUUCGAGCAGGUACGAAAGUAGGUCUUAGUGAUCCGGCGGCUCUGUAUGGAAAGGCCGUCGCUCAACGGAUAAAAGGUACGCCGGGGAUAACAGGCUUAUCGCCCCCAAGAGUUCACAUCGACGGGGCGGUUUGGCACCUCGAUGUCGGCUCAUCACAUCCUGGGGCUGAAGCAGGUCCCAAGGGUUCGGCUGUUCGCCGAUUAAAGUGGUACGUGAGCUGGGUUUAAAACGUCGUGAGACAGUUUGGUCCCUAUCUUUCGUGGGCGCAGGAUAUUUGAGAGGAGCUGUUCCUAGUACGAGAGGACCGGAAUGGACAAACCUCUGGUGUUCCAGUUGUCAUGCCAAUGGCAUUGCUGGGUAGCUAAGUUUGGAAUGGAUAACCGCUGAAAGCAUCUAAGCGGGAAGCCAACCUCAAGAUUAGAUAUCCCUCUUAUAUUGCAAAAUAUAGGACUGAAGACCGCUUGAAGACUACAAGCUUGAUAGGCUGAAAGUGUAAGUUCAGUAAUGGAUUUAGCUUAUCAGUACUAAUUGGUCGUGAGGCUUGGCCAC
rnacentral:rRNA from 1 species